rnacentral:piRNA from 1 species
UUGCCUCCUAGAAGAUACCACUUUAGU